AGUUAAGUGACUAAGCGUACAAGGUGGAUGCCUUGGCAAUCAGAGGCGAAGAAGGACGUGCUAAUCUGCGAAAAGCUUGGAUGAGUCGAUAAGAGGCGCUUAAUCCAAGAUAUCCGAAUGGGGAAACCCAGUAGAUGAAGAAUCUACUAUCAACAAGUGAAUUCAUAGCUUGUUGAGGCAAACCGGGAGAACUGAAACAUCUAAGUACCCCGAGGAAAAGAAAUCAACCGAGAUUUCGUCAGUAGCGGCGAGCGAAAGCGAAAGAGCCAGUAAGUGAUAGCAGUAUAGUGAGGAGAAUGUGUUGGGAAGCACAAUCAAAGAGGGUGAUAAUCCCGUAUCUAAAAACCAUAUUGUGGUACUAAGCUAACGAGAAGUAGGGCGGGACACGUGAUAUCCUGUUUGAAGAAGGGGGGACCAUCCUCCAAGGCUAAAUACUCCUGAUUGACCGAUAGUGAACCAGUACUGUGAAGGAAAGGCGAAAAGAACCCCGGUGAGGGGAGUGAAAUAGAACCUGAAACCUUGUACGUACAAGCAGUGGGAGC
rnacentral:rRNA from 1 species